GAAUAAUGUAGGUAAGGGAAGUCGGCCAAACCGAUCCGUAACUUCGGGAUAAGGAUUGGCUCUGAGGAGCGUGGUCCGGCCACCGCGCCGUCGGUCGCGUAGCCGGAUCGACAGCCAUGUAACGGUCAACUCAGAACUUGCACGGACCAGGGGAAUCCGACUGUCUAAUUAAAACAAAGCAUCGCGAUGGCCCGGGACGGGGUGUUGACGCGAUGUGAUUUCUGCCCAGUGCUCUGAAUGUCAACGUGAAGAAAUUCAAGCAAGCGCGGGUAAACGGCAGGAGUAACUAUGACUCUUUUACGCUUACGUGGCGUGGCGUCUGGGUCCCCGAAAGCUUUCGGGACCUCAGGGAGCUUGGGUUAAGCCGUGGGCUGCUCGAGGGCUUGGUCACGCGUGUCCUCAAAGGCACCAAGCUUAACUGGUCUACGUUCAAUC
rnacentral:rRNA from 14 species